UUUUAUAAUUGUAAUCUCAAAUUUCAUUUAAAAACAUAGAUUUAAAAUGAAAAGAAAAAUAACACUAAUCCCAAACCUUCCUUUCCAGAAUACCUUCAGCUCCAUAAGAUACAGAUGGAGGUUCAAAGGUUUGGGAGUUGAAAACACUACAGUAAGAGAAUUUGAAAAACCAUGGGGACACUGUCGGUGGUUUUCUCAUCAUAAUUACACUUGAUGUCAAUAGACUGUGGAUUCUUUAGAAGUUCUGAGAGCCAUGCCAGGCACAACAUUUAAUACUGAUGCGUUCAGAGACAGGGAGGAGUGAACUGAGUCUUGGGGAUCUCGCGUGAUCUCACAGCCUGCAUAGAGCUGAGGGAGAAGCCCGGCAGUUAGUGAAUGAGCAGGACAAGAGGAAAAACCUCUCCAGGCCAGGCCUGUGCCAAAGGACAUCACAGUGUUCAGCCCAUGCUGGAGUGUUCCCUGCAGUUGUCUUAACCAAGUGGGAACUCUGUGCCCAUCGACAAUGAGGCCGAUGGCAUUGUGUUAAGACUAAGAAGAGGAAAAUAAAUAAAU
rnacentral:sRNA from 1 species